CAGUCGCCGCGGGAAUACGUAGGUGGCGAGCGUUGUCCGGAUUUAUUGGGCGUAAAGGGAGUGUAGGCGGUCUUUUAAGUCUGAUGUGAAAGCCCACGGCUCAACCGUGGAGGGUCAUUGGAAACUGGGAGACUUGAGUGCAGAAGAGGAGAGCGGAAUUCCAUGUGUAGCGGUGAAAUGCGUAGAUAUAUGGAGGAACACCAGUGGCGAAGGCGGCUCUCUGGUCUGUAACUGACGCUGAGGCUCGAAAGCGUGGGGAGCAAACAGGAUUAGAUACCCCAGUAGUCCCUGUCUCUUAUAC
rnacentral:rRNA from 1 species